rnacentral:rRNA from 1 species
GACGAACGCUGGCGGCGUGCUUAACACAUGCAAGUCGAACGGAAAGGCCCUGCUUUUGUUGGGUGCUCGAGUGGCGAACGGGUGAGUAACACGUGAGUAACCUUCCCUUGACUUUGGGAUAACUUCAGGAAACUGGGGCUAAUACCUGAUAGGAGCUCCUGCUGCAUGGUGGGGGUUGGAAAGUUUCGGCGGUUGGGGAUGGACUGGCGGCUUAUCAGCUUGUUGGUGGGGUAGUGGCUUACCAAGGCUUUGACGGGUAGCCGGCCUGAGAGGGUGACCGGCGACAUUGGGACUGAGAGACGGCCCAGAGUCGUACGGGGGGCAGCAGGGGGGAAUAUUGCACAAUGGGCGGAAGCCUGAUGAAGAAACGCCGCGUGCGGGAUGAAGGCCUUCGGGUUGUAAACCGCUUUCGCCUGUGACGAAGCGUGAGUGACGGUAAUGGGUAAAGAAGCACCGGCUAACUACGUG